UACAGAGGGGCAAGCGUUAUUCGGAAUUAUUGGGCGUAAAGGGCGCGUAGGCGGCUUGGCAAGUGGAAGGUGAAAUCCCUCGGCUUAACCGAGGAACUGCCCUCCAAACUGCUUUGCUUGAGGCCGGGAGAGGUGAGUGGAAUUCCCAGUGUAGCGGUGAAAUGCGUAGAUAUCAGGAGGAAUACCGAUGGCGAAGGCAGGUCUCUGGGCUGACACUGACGCUCAUGCACGAAAGCGUGGGGAGCAAACAGG
rnacentral:rRNA from 1 species